UCUAAAACUUCAAGGAAUUGACGGGGGCCCGCACAAGCGGUGGAGCAUGUGGUUUAAUUCGACGCAACGCGCAGAACCUUACCAGCCCUUGACAUCCCGGUCGCGGACUCCAGAGACGGAGUUCUUCAGUUCGGCUGGACCGGAGACAGGUGCUGCAUGGCUGUCGUCAGCUCGUGUCGUGAGAUGUUGGGUUAAGUCCCGCAACGAGCGCAACCCCCGUCCUUAGUUGCUACCAUUCAGUUGAGCACUCUAAGGAGACUGCCGGUGAUAAGCCGCGAGGAAGGUGGGGAUGACGUCAAGUCCUCAUGGCCCUUACGGGCUGGGCUACACACGUGCUACAAUGGCGGUGACAAUGA
rnacentral:rRNA from 1 species